UAAUGGAACUCAUCCCCUGGUGGACGCAGGACUCAUAGAUCGACAGAACCUUGAGUUGUAGCACACGAUACACAAAUUUCUCCAAAAACUAUUGUCAAAUCCAAUGUUAUGAAGUUUUCCACCCUACGUAAUUUGAAGAAAUGGAACUUCACAAGUGCUCUUUGCAGCUGGUUCCCUGUAUUUGGACAGCCUUUAUUUCUAUUUUCUUAGAAAACAUCUUCUGGACACCCUAGUUAAAAGUUCCUAUUUUGCUUUGAUCUGGAAUCCUACCCUCUCCUCUGCCGAAGCAAUUAUCCAAAAUUUCAGAGUGUCGAUGGCUCACAAUGUGGGGAGAAUUUCUGGAAAACAAUCAAUAGGGCCUCUGAACAGAAGAUAUUAAAGAUUUUAAAAGAACCAUCCAAGAGGGCUGAAACUACACUCUACAUGUCUCUUGAGAAUACCCCUGCAAGAUGCAAAUGACAUUGCAAAAGGCUAUUAAGGAAUUCAGUUAUAAGCGUGGAAGUUCACUCUUCUCUUUGAGCGACAGUCAUGCAUAUUGCAGUGAGUAAAAUGUGGCCUCUGCUUGUUAUCUAUUGAUGUCAAGAGCUGUGGUAUCUGUCAGUGAUUUUUCUCAUGGCCUUACGUUCAAUACCUUUCUCAGCCUUCAGUGUAACCCAGUGAUAAAAUCCAAAGAUGCUCACAGCGGUGAGACACGGCUGAUGUUGUUUUGGUAUAAUGGGAAGCACAGAGUGUUUGGGAGCAUGGUUGUGCACCAAAUAACCAUGUACUCUUGGGUCAUUGGUUUGUAGGUCUAAAAUAGUGCAUUGGACCGCAUGAUGUCUUUGCUUUCUCCUGGUUCUAAAUUUCUUCAGUUUCUAAAUAAGCCAGAAUGAAGUUACCAGUGGUGGGUUUUGAAGAACAUAAUGUAAUACACGUUCACCAUAUCCAAACUGCCAGGCCUAAUAUCUACCUGUUUUUUAAGGAUUUCACUAAUGUUUUAUUUCCAUAGAUGAUAAGCUAAAAUGAUUGGGUACUGAUGAAGGUGAAAGGGUGUAUUGGGAGAUUACUGAUUUCUGGACUCCCCUCCAAUCCCCUAAGAGAGAAGAAAAUCCAAAAGCCAACAUCAAAUGAGGCAAACAGCCAGUGGGUAAGAGAACCUCAAGUCUUUUUCCAGUAUCCAGGGGCCAAGUGGCAGUCGAGUCCAUUCCCUUGGCCAAUUAGAUCAAAGACACUGGCUGUAUCAUUCAACUUUAGGAUGCCUCCUGUCAAUGGCUCUCCCACUAGCUUGUUUUUGCUUCAGUUCUGAUAGCUGGUCACCAUCAGGCCUAGGGAGUCAACAGAAGCCUGCUGUAUUGGUCUGUGGACGUUGUAUUCUCUCUUUUGGUUCCCUACACCUUGCUCAUUCCUUCAUAAAUAAUCCCUUUAUUAAACUUCCCUCAAAUUUCCCUGUUUGAGUGUGUCAUCUGUUCCUGCUGAUACUAUUAUUGGACAAAGUGAAAUUGAAAAAGGAUGAAUGUUACUCAGAGGGUCCAGAUCCUCAAGUGAAACGUUGAUUUGGAUAAGAAUCACACCACAGGACAGAGUUAGUGGUGUUACCAAGUGUGGUAGGCUGAAUAAUAGACCCCAAAGAUGUCUGGUACUAAUCCCCAGAACCUGUGAAUAUGGUAUCUUAUUAGGUAAAAGAGACUUUGCAGACGUGAUUAAGUUCGUGAUCUUGAGAUGGGAAGAGUAACCUGAAUCAUCUAGGUGGGCCCAAUGUAAUCACAAGUGGUCUUAUAAGAGGGAAGCAGGAGGCUCAAAAUUUGAGAAGAAGAUGUGACGGUGGAAUCAGAGGACAGUGGAAGUGAUGCUGUUGCAUGAAGAGGGGCGUGAGCCAAGGAAUGCAGGUCAGUCUCUGGAGCGGAAAAUGGAUUCUCCCCUAGAGCCUACUGAAGGAAUACUGACGCACUGAUUUUAGAACUUCUGACUUUCAGAACUGUAAUAUAAGUUUUGUGUUGUUUUAAGCCACUAAGUUUAUGGUAAUUUGUUAUAGCAGAAUAGGAAACUAAUAUACCAGGGAAUGGGAUCAACAGUUGGUUAGUUUCCAUGGAUUUAUUCAUUUCCAUUUUAAAAAACUUUUGAACAUAUACAAAAAUAGAAUAGUAUAAUGACCUCUUCCAUUGUGAUUUAAAAACAUCUCCUAGAUCCAGCUUCUUUUCAUCUGUAGUGGGUAUUCAUCAUUUUAUUUUUAGCUUCCCAGCAUCUGAGCCUCCUUGGUAUGUUUUGAGGAAUUUAGCAUCUGAUGUAUUCUUGGUGGGUGCAGAACCUACCCCCCGCUGAACGUCCCAGUUACUUGCCUUCCAAACAUUCCUUGCUGCUGGGCUACAGGCCUAAGACCUAGACUCUGCCCAGUAGACGCACUGUGCCAUUCUUUAGAAUCAGUACAGAAGCAAAGGGGUAGUGGUUGCAAAUGGCAUUCCCAGCCCCAAGUGGCCAUGGAGGUGACUGCAGCAAGACUGUUUCUCAAGGCUGGCACAAUACUUUACUCACUCCUCCAGUUCUGCUGGAUGAUGUGGGGUUUUGCUGCUGGUUGUACAAUUUUGAGCCUAAUUUUCCAGACUCUGAAUAAUUCUGACAAAUUAUCUUUGUCUUUAAAUCAGCCAGAGUUGAUUUAUUGGUUUAUGUUUCUUGAAACUGAGAACCUGAUUAAUACACGCUUUUCCAUUCUGCCCUUCUUACUGUGUCAGCCUUGAGCUCAGGCAAGAUUUCCUCUUGACCUCAUAAUACAGGAAUUACAGGCAGCCGUGAUAACCCCCAGAGCGAGAAGAAAUCACCUGUCCUUAUGUUUCUCUCUUUAGAGUGGAGGCCCUUUUCCCUCAAGCCUCUUAGCAGGUUUUUCUCUCACCCCUCAUUGACUAGAAGAGCAUCUGGUGCCCAUACAUACACCAGUCGCUAGCUGGGGGAAGGAGACCCCAUCAUUAUCUUAGACCAAUGAGAACGCUCCUGUGUGGCUCUGUGGAGGAGGGUGAAUACCUGCACAAAAUCAGAGCUUUGCUUAAAAAGAAGGGUGGGAAAUGCAUGUCAUGUAAUAAAUCCACAUUGUCAGCCACAAACGAAGUUUCUAUGAAGGAUAAAUAAGACAAUGUGUGUAAAGCUUUUCACAUUGUACCUGGCAUACCUGAAGCACUCAAAUGGAUCCCUUGGGAAGCUUUGCGGAAUACAUGUAACUCAGACUUCACCACAGACCUACUGAAAUAAAAUAUUUACUUGCAGGGCCUAGUUAUCAAUAUUUUUAAAACUUCCUCAGGAGAUUCUUAAUAUAUCCCUGGUUAAGAAUCACCAGAGAAGAAUGAUUGUAGCAUUUUAAGUAAGAUGGAAUAGUGUUUCUGGUUGGGUAGUUCCUUGGAGCAGAACAAGUGAGAGACCUAUUUAUGAAAUAUGGUUUUAUAUUGUAGAGGGCUAGUGACAAAGGGAAUCCAGAAAAAGUGACUCUUAUACCUCAUCUUAGUGAUGGGAGUUUUAGAGCUGUUUUAUCCAGGGGGCCUUCUACCUGGGUGAAAUUCGUACUGCUGUUUUCUCUUAGGUCAUGGGUUAAUGUUAAAUGGUUGGCAAGUGAAAGACUAAAUAGUAAAAGAUAUCCAUCCUCAUGAAGAGCAAUUGAAACCAGAGAAAAUAAAGGCUUGAGUUGCCCUUAGGCUAAGCUGGUUGCCACAACUCUGUAAAAGGUGGAUUGGUUUUCUGGUUCUUCUGAGUUAUUCAGCUCGGUGGUUUUUAACUUAACUGGCACCUUUUUAAUUGUCUGACAUUAUUGUUCAGGGUUUCGCCUGGAGAUCGAGAGCAGGAGACUGGUAUGGAGAAUUGCAGCACCACGUGGAAAAAGUGCAUUUAACCUUGUUUGCUUAGGGUAUGGAUGACCCUGUACAUCCUGCUGAUCAUCAAAUAAGUAAAAAAGAAAUGAUAAAAUUUGUUACACAUUUAGUGAAAAACACAAGAUGAAAAUAGAUACAAUGAGAAAAGCAAUCAGAUCACAGGAUCUCAAGUUUGGAGGUAACACGCCCACGUGAAGGGCAGCGAGUGUUCCCACAGGGGUUUGGAGUGUUCAGAGCCUAAGCCAAGAUGUGGGUUAGGGGUGAGUGGGUUAGAAGUUCAUAGGAAAUGGAUACAGCUACCCUAAACAGUUCU